rnacentral:lncRNA from 1 species
UUGUGGUGAGCCGUGUUUGUAGACCGUUGCCGCCAUUAAAAGAUGGCGCCGGUCUCCGUUGUGGAUCUUGGUAAACAACUCCUUAUUAGGGAAAGUUGGUGCACUGUCCCUCAACACCCUAUGAGAAAACCACGCGUGGCAGCUUUGGAUUGGACUUGAGUAAGCUUUAUUAGGCUAUGCUUGGGCGCUCGGCGGGGGGUCGCUAGAAGAUGAUACAUGAAACAAGGCCUGAAUAAACUGCUGAAAGAAGAAUCCUGUGUCGUGUUUUCCCUUGCCGGCGAGGGGUCGCGACAAUUGGUGGCCCGGACGGGGAAUUAUAUUCCUCGAACCCAGGAUCCAGAACUUUCAGCAGUCAGGGUGGUGCACCGGUAAGUUCCCAGGUAAAGUGGGAAUCCGCAAGCAAAUAGCGGGGCGCUCUCUCUGUAAAUAGAGAGAGAGCGGGAAAAAGGACGCUCCCCUGUAAAAGGAAGAGAGCGGGGAUUUUUGUACUUUCACUUUCUUUAUAGCUCUAAAAACAUUAUGGGCGUUGCUUCUUCAAGCCCAAUUUUGUUGGCCCUAGAUGGAUUGCUACGUUCAAAAGGACUUAAGGUAAAGCAGAGCACUUUGCAGAUGUUUUUGAGAGAAGCUGCCGGGGCCGCGGCCGCGGUCUGGGCAUGAGGAUGGCGGUGGGCUCAGUCAAGAUGCAGCCGCCGUGCGAGAACCCGGCCCUGGCCGCGGCGGUGGCGGCGGCGGACAGCGCUCUGCGCCGCAGUCCCAGCGCCCGCGAGCCGGAGCGCGAGCAGCCGCCGGCGUCGCUGCGGCCGCGGCUGAAGGACCUGCCUGCACUGCUGCGGAGCGGGCUCACGCUGCGGAGAAAGCGGAGCGCCGCCGGGGGCCGGGACCGGACGGAGCCGGUGUGGGUUCCAGAACGCCUGACAAGAAGAGUCCCGACAAAUACAUCUGAGUUAAAUAUAACCACUUUGGCCAUUACUUCCCAGGUGUUAAUUCCGUUGUCUCCUUCUAAUGAGACCUCUAAUGCCACUCAUUUUAAGGCUUCUCCUUAUUGCACCCCUGAGUAUGGCUUCCCUCCUAUAUUUACACCUUGUCAAGAUCACUCUUGGGAGAAACAUCAGGUCGCCAAAGGUUUUUCCCUUUCCCCCUCUCUCAAAAGGUACUUGUAUAAUUCUUCCAACAAUAAUUCCUCUAUAGGAGCGGGUUGGUCCUGGUUUCAAUGGUUGAUUUCCAAUGAAAAGGGGGCCACAGCCGACAUCUCCGCUUUGGCUCAAUUACGAGGAGUCCAAAGUUGGCUGUUUAAUGUUUCUGGCAGUACCCAAGACUCGGGGUGGGGUAGGAGACUCAAAUCUAUUUCACACAAUGCACUAUUAGGUAAUGCAAUGUUACCCUC